AACACCACCUGCCAACAUUCAGCCUCCUCUGCCCAUCAGCCUUGCUGACACAGGGAGUGGAGAUUUGUGUAGAGAAAUGACUCAUUCAAAUAUGACUUAAUCUAAACCGUAAGUGUAUGAUUUAUUAAUGUGCCACCAGGCCUUACACCAAGAGAGCCAUUCCAGAGAAAAGUCCUUUUUCUCCUGAGAACAGUGCCAGCAGCUGGCUUCGUGACAUUCUGGAAGCCCCGUGCAAUGCUGUCAGGAGCAUAGGGAUUUUACUUUAUCUCCCUUGCUUAUGCUCCACAUAACUGAAAUAUCUCACUGGAAGCUGCAGCAGUGCUGGCCCCUUGCACAGCCAUAUGUGACCACUGCAGAACAAUCAGUUGGAGAGACAGUUUGGACUACAUGGAGGGUGGAGAUAAGGACAAAGUGAAGAAUACACAGGAACCAGUGCCUCCUCCUGGAACUAUGCAACUCCAAGCUGCUUCCAUCAGCUGCUAGGUCCAGUAGGGAGGGACCUACUGAGAGAAGGUGCCUGCUUCCCUUUCCGCUGUGAUUGUAAGUUUCCUGAGGCCUCCUCAGCCAUGUGGAACUACAGGAAACGCCACGAAGUGUCUGGAUCAAAGAACAGACUAUUGCUCACAGAGCACCUUCAUAGCAUUGUUCCUCAUGCCCCCGUUGCCCAAGGGGAUGGCAGGUUGAGGACCAGAUGUACUUGCAUGUUCAGGGGAUGCAGCACAGAAGAGGAACUCCAAAAUUAUUAUUAUUAUUGUUAUUAUUAUUAUUUUUGAGAUGGAGUCUCGCUCUGUCGCCCAGCCUGGAGUGCAGUGGCGUGAUCUCGGCUCACUGCAAGCUCCGCCUCCCGGGUUCACGCCAUUCUCCUGCCUCAGCCUCCCGAGUAGCUGGGACUACAGGCACGCACCGCCACGCCCUGUUAAUUUUUUUUGUAUUUUUUUUUAGUAGAGACAGGGUUUCACCGUGUUAGCCAGGAUGGUCUUGAUCUCCUGACCUCGUGAUCCACCCGCCUCGGCCUCCCAAAGUGCUGGGAUUACAGGCGUGAGCCACCGCGCCCGGCCGAACUCCAAAAUUAUUAAACUCUGAGCGUCUGCAGGUGACUGACACAUCUGCGCUUCCUUUCUUCCAGGGUGUGGGGAAGAGCGAGAAAAAGAUUUCCGCUCUGGAAGGUAAACAAAUACUCUCUGGAGAGAGAAGAGGAAUGUCCCUAGCAGAUGUCUCCAGAGAAGACAAGACUUUAAAUUCCGCCAGGGAAAUAUACAAUGUCUAACUUCUAAGGCACAUUUGCCAUUCAAUCAUGCUUUAACCCACGUUGCCAGAAAUUUUUGCUCACUAGGUUUUGACUGUACAGGAAUGUGAAAAUAUUCAUGAAGAGUUGUUUUCCAAUGCUAAAGAAUUGAUGUGUUUUAACAGUUGAAUUAAUUGUAUUGAUUAUGAUCACACCUACUUUUUAUAUAUCUUCAUUUCUAACGUUUCUGUACAAUCCUGCCUUUCCACCUGAUAUAGUUAGGCCUUGUGUCAUCAACCAAAUCUCAUCUUGAAUUGUAAUCGCCAUAAUCCCCACGUAUUUAGGGAGAGACCUGGAGGGAGGUGUUUGGAUCAUGGGGGCGGUUUCCCGCAUGCUGUUCUCAUGACCAUGAGAGUAAGUUCUCAAGAGAUCUGAUGGUUUUAUAAGCGUCUGUCAUUUCCACUGCUUGCACUUCUGUGUCCUGCCACCUUGUGAAGAAGGACGUGGUUGCUUCCCCUUCCACCAUGAUUGUGUUUCCUGAGGCCUCCCCAGCCUUGCAGAGCUGUGAGUCAAUUAAACCUCUUUCCUUUAUAAAUUACUCAGUCUCUGUAUUCCUCUGCAGCAGUGUGAGAACAGACUAAUACAUCACCACUUUAUUUACUUUACUCUCUCCCCAUACCGAGGUUUUCUACAUUUUCUUUCUAGGUCUCUACAGUUUCUGCAAAGAUCCUUUAUGGAACUCUUAGGGAAGCUGGGAUGUAUAAUAAAUAAAGGGCUCUUUUCUUUGAGUCCCACACCCAUUUUCUGUGUAUAAAAAUCUUCAACUCCACUUUUGUCUGUUCUAUUUAAAUGUGUGCACAUUUCCUUCUAAUGUUGUAUAUGAAAAAGAGACACCUCUUAGCAGUCUUUCAUAGAGCAAAAUUUUUUACUUUGAUAAAAUCUAAUUUAUCAAUAUUUUUAAAUUUUAUGGAUCAAUCAUGCUUUUGAGGUUGAAUUUAAGAAUGCUUUGCCUAGCCCUAGAUCCCAAGUAUCUUUUAAAAAUUAUUUUUCUAAAUGCAUUAUUUAUGUUUUACACUUAAGUCUAUAAUCCAUUUUGAGUCCAUGUGUAAGAUUUAGGUUAAGGUCAAGAUUUAUCUGUUUUUGUUGUUUUCUCUAUAAAUGUCAAUUGCUCCAGCACUAUUUGUUUAAAAGCCAAUCUUUCCUCCGCUGAGUUCUUCCUAUAAGUUUGUCAAAAGUCAAUUUGGCAUCUUUGUAUAAGUUUAUUUCUGGAUUCUCUAUUCUGUUUUAUUGAUCACUGCAUCUAUCCCUCUUGAUUAGCUAGAUAAUAAAUCCUACAAUAAGGUAGAAUUCUUCCCACUUUAUUCAUAUUCAAAAUAUUUUAAAGCUAUUCUAGUUUCUUUUUAUUUCCAUAUAUAUUUUAGGAUAAUCUUAUCUAUAUUUACAACAUAUGUUGCUAGGAUUUUGAUAGAAUUUGUUUUAAAUUUGUGUAUCAAUGUAGGGAAGACCUGACAUCUUUACUAUUACGUUGAUCUUCCAAUCAAUGAAUAUGGUAUAUCUCUCAGUUUAUAGCUAUUGUCUUUAAUUUAUUUCAUCAUGGUUUUUAGUUUUCAGCAGAGAAGCUUUAUACAUGUUUUGUUAUACAUGUAUAACAAAAGAAGCCUUAUACACUGACAUUUUAUAUUUUGAACAAUUGUAAAUGGUAUUGUUUAAAAAUUUUGUUGUCUAUGAUAGAAAUAAAAUUGAUUUUUGUAGGUUUAUCUUGUAACCUAUGACUUGCUGAGCUCGCUCAUUAGUUUUUUUAUUGUGAUAAAAUAUACAUGAGAUAAAUUUCAUCAUUAUAAUCAUUAAGUUUAGACAUCAAUUGCAUUAAGUACAUAAAUGCCUUAUGCAACCAUCAUCUCUAUCCAUCUCCAGACCCUUUGCAUCACCCUAAAAUGAAACUCUGUGCCCAUUAAACAAUAACUCCCCAUUCUGCCCUCACCCCAGCCCUUGGUAAUUACCAUCCUACCUUUUAUCUCUAUAAAUUUAACCAUCCCAGGUAACUCAUAUAAGUGGAAUCAUGCAGUGUUUGUCCUUUUGUAACUGGUUUAUUUCACUUAGCAUGAUGUCUUCAAGGUUUGCCUAUGUCAUAGCAUGUGUCAGAAUUUCAUCCCUUUUUAAACUUAAAUAAUAUUCCACUGUAGGCAUAUGCCACAUUUUGUUUAUUUGUUCAUCUGUUGAUGGGCAUUUGGGUUGUUUCCACCUUUUGGCUACUGUGAAUAAUGCUGCUGUGAUCAUGGGUAUGCAACUGUCUCCUGGAGUCCCUGCUAUCAAUUCUUGUGGGUAUAUACCCAGAAGUGGAAUUGUUGCAACAUAUAGUAAUUCUAUGUUUAAUUUUUUGAGGACCUGCCAUAAUGUUUUCCACAGUAGCUACAUUGUCUUAUAUUCCCAUUAAGAGUUCCAAUUUCCUCACAUCUUCACCAAUACUUAUUGUUUUCUGUUUUUUUAAAUAAUAGCCAUCAUAAUAAAAGUAACAUGGUAUCUCAUUGUGGUUUUAACUGCAUUUCCCUUUUUACUGGAUUGUUUGUAAUAUUGCUGUAAUUGAGUUGUAGGAGUUUUUAAAUAUGUUCUGAAUAAUUAAUUUCUUAUCAGAUAUGUCAUUUGCAAAUAUUUUCUGCCAUUCUCUGGGUUGUCAUUUCACUCUCUUGAUAGUGUCCUUUGAUGCACAGAAGUUUUGAAAUUUGAUAAAGUUUAAUUUGCGUAUGUAUUUAUUUUGUUGCUUAUGCUUUUGGUGUCAUAUCCAAGAAAUUAUUGCCAAAUUCAGUGUCAUGAAGAUUUUCCCCUGUGUUUUCCUCUAAGAGUAUUAUAGUUUUAACUCUUGCACUUAGAUUGAUCCGCUUUGAGUUAAUUUUAGUAUAUGGGGUAAGACAAGGGCUCAAAUUUGUUCUUUUGUUUGAAGAUUCUAGGUCAUUUGUGAUCUUUAGGAUUUUCUAUGUAGACAUUAAUGUCAUCUUCAAAUAUGAACAGUUUAUUUCUUCCUUUUGUAUAUGUAUGAAUUUACUUUCCUUUUCUUGCCUUAUUGCACUGGCUAGAGUUUUCAGUACUAUGAUGAAUAAAAUCAGUGAGAGCAGACACCCUUGCUUUGUUUCUAAUCUUAGGAGGAAAGCUUUCAGUCUUUCAUCAUUAGGUAUACUGUUAGUUGUAGGCUUAUUAUAGAUGCUCUUUAUCAGGUUGAGGCAGUUUCCUCCUUGGUUAAGACUUUCUAUUUUUCAUUUUCAGUUAUGACCAGGCAUGUUCAUAACUGCUCAUCAAAACUUUGAAUUAGUGGCUGCUUUAACAUCCUUCUCAGACAAUUCUAACAUCUGUUUUGUUGGUGGUGGCAUCUAUCAAUUGUCUUUUUCAUUCUGUUUGAGAUCUUCCUUGCGUUUGGUAUGAUUUUUUUAAAUAUUAUGUCAUGAAACUGCAUCUUAUUUAAAUCUUCUGUUUUAGUUGGCUAUGUCUGACAUCACUUCCCCAGGGGAAGGUGUUGUUACUGCUAGUGGAGGGUGAGAAUUAUGGCUCUCCACUGACAUUGUGGUGGGAUUGGUCCCAUUACCACUGGGCAGGGUUGAAAGUCCUGACUUUCUGCUAGGCCUUCUCUGACUUCAUCGCAGCAGGAGGAAAAGAUGCCUCUGGAGUUGAAGUCAGGUUGCACUGACACUGUGUGUGUAUGGAGGUAGGCUGGGGUGAAAGUGGAGACUCAUUACCACAUGGUGAGUAGUUUCCAGCUCUCUAUUUGGCCUUCUCUGAUACCACCCAGACAGGGACAUUGGGGAUACCUCAUUACAGCCUAGUGAGGGUCAAACUCUAGGCUCCCCACUCAGUCUUUGCUAUCAUGGACACUGUAGGACCAUAGUUUUUUCUGUGCUGUUUGCUUGAUGUGUCUUCCUUGGACCCUGAGUUCCAUAGCUGGUCUGCAUUCCUCUCUCCACCUUUAAGACGUCUUCUUAUGUUUAUUUCAUAUUUAACAUCCAGGGUGGUAAUUAGAGGGAAGAAUAGAGGGAAAAGUACAGUUGCACUUUGUUGUUCAAAGAGCAGUUUUGAACUGCACAGACCCAUUUCUCUGAGCACACCCAGGGAUGAUUGUACUUGUAUAAAAUUUUUUUCCUGGAUGCAGAAUUCUCAAUUGACUGUGAAAGUUCAUAACAAAGAAAACAGUGGGGAAGACAAAUCUGGAAAUGAGGAAAAUAAAAAUUAAAUAGUGAGACCACCCAUGGAGCUUGUGGCAAAGCCUGAAUUGAAUCCGCUGUAUCUUAAGAUUGUGCCUCAUUCUAAAUUUAAGUCACCCUUCUCAUUAUGAAAGUGUCACAACUUCUCAGUAGGUGAGGAGACAGUCUAAAUUUGAGAAAAGAAAGUUACAACAAAGGUUUUGAGCAAGCUGCUAAGUGGAUUUAUUCAUGUUUGAGAAAUCAAAUAUAUGGUUAAUGAGCUCUUUAACUAGAAGCCAACACUAGGGAGGAGUAGACAGAAGUCACGGGGAGGGAGCCCCCGGACAUUUCAAAAGACUUUGCCCUGCAACAUCUCCUCCACAUUUAAGCUUUUAGGUUAUUGUAGCCACAUCACAAGCAUGUUACCUACCCAGAUAUUGUCUGCGCAUCAUUCCCAAAAGCUUCCCUGGGUCUUCAUAAUAUUAAUGAGAUUCUCCCCCAGGUUAGACCCCUUUGGCUUGAGUCAGAAACAGAAUUAAUCCGGGGGACAAUCCAGCAGCACCCAUCUCUGGGUUGCAGAAAUAUCUGAGGUGACCAGGCAGUGUUUGGAGUCCCCUCAGUUAGCUAACAAAGUGAGUUCACAGCUUCCAAGACCCCAGGCUUUCCAGGCUAAUAAAGAGCUGAGGUUAUAGGCUCUCCUUAUCAAACGCUCUUUGGCAGCUGCCAUAACCAUUCCAAGUCUAGUCCUAGAAUAGAAAUGACGCGGUUUCAGGAGCUGACAGAUGGAACUUUAAGCCUUCCUUCCUGCCACAUCUGAAGUUCUUUUUUAAAAAAAUAGAAAACCAUGACAAUAAACACUCCUUGAAUGCCCUGUGGAAAAGUGUACUCCUCAGAAUUCACUAAAGUGGGGUGAAGCAGUGGGUUGUGGUGCUGAGAAAACAUCUCUUCCCCUCGGCAGUAUAUUGGAAUCUCAUAGAAACUUCUGUGGCUGGGAAGCAAACAUGCUCUCUGCCCCAUUGCUCUUAUUCAUCUUUAGACCUGAUAAUACAGUUUGAACUUCAAGUUGCACUUUAAAUGGCAUGCAUUUUUA
rnacentral:lncRNA from 1 species